GUGCAACUUGACCAAAAUAAAAGGAAGGUUCUGAUCCGACUGGUCCAGACUAAACUUCAGCAGCUCAGUUGAACAGGCAGAGUCCUCUUCAGACAGGAAACAAAAAGCAUGAAGGCUGUGAUUUUUGCUGUUUUGGUGUUUCUGCUCAUCAGCCAGAACGAAGCCUUGAAGUGUUACUGUGGAGGUAAAAGACGAUGUCCAGAUCGCAUGGAGACCUGCAUCAGCUCUGACAGCGUCUGCAUUAGUGCCAGCUUUUAUGGCGUACCUCAGCCCUUCUACUUUAAGGGAUGUUACAGAGAAAGUGACUGUGUGAAGGUGAAUAUGCCUGGCAUGUCAUCAGCCAGCUGCUGCAGAACUGACCUUUGCAACAGAUAAUAAAACCCUUCAAAUAAAUAAACUUCUGUUCAGUUGGGAAUUGUGUAUAUAUGUACUGUUGUUCUCACUGAUCCCAAUAAAAACCUGGAUUGAAA